UAAAAAUUUUUUUCUGUAAAAUGUCUAUUUUUAGACAUUUUUUAAGAUUUGUUGCAUGAGCUUAACUAUUAUUAAAUUGUGAUAAUUCAAUAAAUCCUAAAAAAGGGUCUUAAAAUAGACUUAAAAAAUAUUUUGUGAUCAUAUUUUACCACAAAAUCAAAAAAUAAAAUAAAAAAAUAAAAUCUGAAAAAUUAAGUCAUUAAUUGCAUUUUCCUAAUAUUUAAGCUCAUUUCCUCUCAAUUCUCCUGACUGUAAAAUAAAAAAGGCAUAUUAUUUAAACUGUAAAGUAAACAUUACAGUAGGAUUCGUUGUACUGCCUUUAAUUUCAUAUAAAACUGUACUUUAUUAUUGUAAAGUAAAGCAUCCAUCCAUUCACCUUCGGGAGGAAUAAAAUCCCACUGGUGCUGAAAUAGGUUUCAGUUUCUGGACUCACAACACAGUUCUUUAUCUUUUCUUCUGAUCUGAGGUGUUUUCAUAGGAGUCGCUGUAAUAAUGUUUGAGAGAAAUCAAGCAGCUGAAUCAGUGUUUAGUCUGGGUGUCCUCCACUCCGAGGGUCAAAGGUCAAAUACUGACUCCAAAUACACUCCCAGAACUCCUGAUUGUUUUUGGUGGAGGAGUGUAUGAACGUUAGUGAACAUUUCUCAUGCUCUGAACAGAAAUAGAGGCCGUCCUGCUGAUUUAUGACUGACGUUUAUAAGCAUGUGUGACUUGGCAAGAAAUGGUUUAGUCUAAAGAUAGUCAAAGUAAAUCUGAUUCUUCAGGGUCACCUUGCUUCUCACGGUGUUAUUUUCUUCUUCCUCUCGUUUCUGGCCACACAGAGUCAAAAGCAGAGUUCUUGUCCAUUCUUGCAGCGCUCAUUGUUGAGUUUUAAUGAUGUCCAGUAAGAAGAAAGCAGUGCCGUGGUGGAGUUUGCUUCAGCUAAAGCAGCUGCCAAAGUCAACCGAGACACUCUGGAGGUCUGGCCAAACCUCUCCGCAUCCCAUAAUUCCUCCCAUCGCCCAAGGAACACGAGCGCAGUUGCGCCAUCGAUCCUGGCAGGAUGCUUCAGGCCAGCCGUGACUGCAGAUCUGGUUUCAGGGUUGAGGGAAGGUCUGCAGCUGGUUUUCGCUCUUGGGUCAGGUGCUGGUCACUCCACGCUGACCGCUGAUGUGUGUGACACAUCUCUGAGGCUAAAUGCAGGAUGAAUAUCUCCACGUUUAUGUUACAUUGAGACGCAGAAUGCGUUUUGGUAUGAUCUCUGUGUUAUUGAUGGUUCUGGUCAGACAUCAUGGCACUCAGAAGAGGAGCGACAACUGUAUUUAGCUGCAGUGUGAACGUGGAUUGAUGGUAGUAAGAGGAAAUGGAGUAAAAAUCGAAAUAACGGUUGCACAAUUUGGGCCAAAAAUAAUUAGUUGUGAUUAGUUUGUCAUAUAUUUUGGUUGUCACUUGAAUG
ensembl:lncRNA